rnacentral:misc_RNA from 1 species
GGAAGUAAAAGCGUAACAAGGUUUCCGUAGGUGAACCUGCGGAAGGAUCAUUAAUGUGUUUGGGCCUCACGGCUCUUCAUUCCGACGCUGUGCGCCUUCGGGCUGCACGCUGAGGGAGCAUAUAUCCACCCCUGUGCACACACACGGUGGCGAGCUGGGUAACGGCUCGCCGCUGAUCUUUACACACGUCUAAAAGUCAUUGUAUGUUUAUUUGAGAUAAAAACACAACUUUCAGCAACGGAUCUCUUGGCUCUC